rnacentral:tRNA from 1 species
GCGGACGUGGCGAAAUUGGUAGACGCACCAGAUUUAGGUUCUGGCGCAGAGAGGUGUGAGAGUUCGAGUCUCUCCGUCCGCACCA